rnacentral:rRNA from 1 species
UACAGAGGGGGCAAGCGUUGUUCGGAAUUACUGGGCGUAAAGGGCGCGUAGGCGGUCUUGUAAGUCUUGUGUGAAAUCCCUCGGCUCAACUGAGGAACUGCACGGGAUACUGCGAGACUUGAGUUCGGGAGAGGGAAGCGGAAUUCCGGGUGUAGCGGUGAAAUGCGUAGAUAUCCGGAGGAACACCGGUGGCGAAGGCGGCUUCCUGGACCGAUCACUGACGCUGAGGCGCGAAAGCUAGGGGAGCAAACGGG